rnacentral:tRNA from 1 species
AUUUAUAUAGUUUAAGAAAAACCUUACAUUUUCACUGUAAAAAAAAAGAUAAAUUACUAAACAAUUCUUUUAUAAAUU